UCUGGAGACAGGUGCUGCAUGGCUGUCGUCAGCUCGUGUCGUGAGAUGUUGGGUUAAGUCCCGCAACGAGCGCAACCCUUGCCUUUAGUUGCCAGCAGUUCGGCUGGGCACUCUAAAGGGACUGCCGGUGUUAAACCGGAGGAAGGUGGGGAUGACGUCAAGUCCUCAUGGCCUUUAUGACCAGGGCUACACACGUACUACAAUGGCCGAUACAAAGGGCAGCGACACUGCGAGGUGAAGCCAAUCCCGUAAAAUCGGUCUCAGUCCGGAUUGGAGUCUGCAACUCGACUCCAUGAAGUUGGAAUCGCUAGUAAUCGUGGAUCAGCAUGCCACGGUGAAUACGUUCCCGGGCCUC
rnacentral:rRNA from 1 species